rnacentral:rRNA from 1 species
UACAGAGACUGCAAGCGUUAUUCGGAUUCACUGGGCGUAAAGGGUGCGCAGGCGGCCAAGUGUGUUAGGCGUGAAAGCCCGGGGCUUAACCCCGGAAUUGCACCUAAAACUACAUGGCUAGAGCAUUGGAGAGGGUAGCGGAAUUCACGGUGUAGCAGUGAAAUGCGUAGAUAUCGUGAGGAACACCAGAGGCGAAGGCGGUCUGCUGGGCAGUUGCUGACACUGAUGCGCGACAGCGUGGGGAGCAAACAGG